rnacentral:lncRNA from 1 species
UUUAUUAAUCUAUAUUUGUUUUGUGCUACAGCUCAAGAUGCCUUUGACUCGUUCGCAAGCUGCCGGGGCAGCUGAGGCGGCGAAUUCGGAGGAAGUGGGACCUCCGUUACUUCUGGAGCUAGUGGGAUCCAUGAGUUGCAGGAUCAGCUUGCGAGCUGACGGAUUUGGUUGCUCAGAAGGUUGCGGCAGCCCGACAGCAGAUGGAUACCGCGCGUCGGCAGGAGGACAGAAUGAAGAGGUUAGAGGUUUACUACUGCAGCAGACGACCGAUAGAGAG